rnacentral:rRNA from 1 species
AGGGCAAGUCUGGUGCCAGCAGCCGCGGUAAUUCCAGCUCCAAUAGCGUAUAUUAAAGUUGUUGCAGUUAAAAAGCUCGUAGUUGAAUUUCGGGGUUCUACCGUUGGUCAGGCUAUUGUCUGUACUGGCGUGUAGAAUUUCUACCUUCUGGAGAACUAUCAUGUUAUUAAUUUAGCGUGGUAGGAAACCAGGACCUUUACCUUGAAAAAAUUAGAGUGUUCAAAGCAGGCUUAUGUCUGAAUACAUUAGCAUGGAAUAAUAAAAUAGGACGGUGGUCCUGUUUUGUUGGUUUCUGAAUCACCGUAAUGAUUAAUAGGGAUAGUUGGGGGCAUUAGUAUUCAAUUGUCAGAGGUGAAAUUCUUGGAUUUAUUGAAGACUAACUACUGCGAAAGCAUUUGCCAAGGAUGUUUUCAUUAAUCAAGAACGAAAGUUAGGGGAUCGAAGACGAUCAGAUACCGUCGUAGUCUUAACCAUAAACUAUGCCGACUAGGGAUCGGACGAUGUUAACUUUUCUUGACUCGUUCGGCGCCUUACGGGAA